CUUCAACACAAUGUAAUGCGGAGCGCGUUCCUGCUCGUCAACACAAUCGGCUGCAGGGGAGGUUACUUUCUGCGUUCGGUUUAUUUGUGAAUAUAAAAUUAAAUUAAUCUAAAUAGCGUAUAUUCUUAUUCUGUGCAGAAUCUGUGUAUUUUGACCUACAACCCAUGCGCAUCAUGACUUCAACAAAGGAAACUUGGAAUGUACCGGAUCCUCCUAUGCGAUCAUCCUCUUUCCCGGUGAGUGAAGUAUGCAAUAAAACAAUGUGGUUGUAAUCGCUAGUAUGCAAUGCUAUGGAGAUUGAUUUAUAGCUUUUUAGACACUUCUCAAACCAGUAUGCAUUUUCACUGAUCUGUCAAGGUUUUCAAUUAAAAUCUUAGCCUACUCAACAGUUUCAACUAGCUUGAGCUAGGCUAAAGUCUAUGGAGUUUCAUGGUGGGCGCAGGGUUUUGUUCUGGGCAACAUCUACACACCUGAUUAAACUAGUUUGAGUGGUUAAUUACUUUAAUCCACAUGUGUCAAACUCCUACCAUGGGAGGUCCGAGUGUCUGCAGAUUUUUGCUCCACCAUGAUUGGUAAAUGAAGGUCACAAAUUACUAAGGAACUCCCCUCACCUGGUUAGGUUGUCUUGGUGUUAAUUGAAAUGAAAAACCAAAAACCUGCAGACACUCGGCCCUCUAUGGAACGAGUUUGACACCCCUGCCUAAUAGAGCUAGUUCAGCUUGUCUCUGCAAAGCCUUUCUAAAGACAGUUUUUAGAUCUUGUGGAGCAAACAAUGGAUGAAUUGGGACAACAAUCCUCCCAUCCACAGUGAAUUAUGUUUAUAUUCAAUGGUCAUCUUAUUAUCCAUCAUUCACAUUUUUUACACCACCUGUAGUUUGUAUGAUGUAAAAUAAUUAACCAAAUCCCACUGGCACAGGUACUGUUUCAUCUGUCAACUAACACUCAUUGCGCUAUGCACCUGAGGCUAUGGCAUGGCAGGUAGCAUAUAUCUAGGUUACAAUAGUAGUCAACAGUUAGUAUGACACAUUAUGUUAGUGUAGCAUGUGUGGUAAUGUUAAAGCCUCGGACUUAGUUUUAGUACCAGGUGAGGUCCAUUAUCAGAUUUGACCCAUAUGAUUGAGUCAUUGAAACCCAUGUCACCUUCAAACACACACACAGCACUUUGAUUAGUUUGAGAAAGGUCAGGGCUUGACGUUUAUCGUGAACUCAACGUCACGGCCUUAGUUGGCCAAACUCUCUUUAUUAAUUGCUGUUAGUAUGGUUUUUAUCUCUAGUUCUCCUUGUCAAUUCAAGCCCCAUGCCAGAGUGGACCUCCCUGGUGCAUUCCAUCAGUCAAAGUUAUGUGUAUAGGGCUAUUUUUUUUGUGACACUUUCGUAUCCACCUUUCAUGCACAAUGUCUCCUGGCUCCAAUCCGUAAGUUGUGUCCUAGUUGUAAAACAUCAAUAGGAGUAACAUCAAAGAAGUGUAAGUUCUGUGGUGUAAAAACACAGCUAAAUGUCAAGUUAAAGGCCCAAAAAAUGAAGGCUACAGACGAAUGGGCAAAUAAGACCAUGGAAGAUAUGCAACCCUGGUUAAUGCAGCAAACACGCUGGUAAGCUUUAUGUUUUCCUCCAAAAAUAUUUCUGCAUUUCUAGCUUAGGUAGUAAAUGAAAGGCCCUAUGCACUUAUUUGUUGAUGUCCCAUUGUGUCAUUUAAGACUGUACAUCUAAAUGUAAUCAUUUGAUUGAUAUUUGUUGUGUUUCUGGAAGUUAUUGUCAUUAAUAAUUCUAGGUACAUAUGUUCCACAAGUUAUGAGUGUACCCCCUGCUACUCUUCAGCAAGAGGAAGAAGGAUAACAUUUUGUUGUCAACUGCACUGUGUCCUCACAGUGGUAUGAUGAAUCAGACCACAAUGGCAGCAAUCCAAAGGUUGUAUGAGGCAAUUAUGAAAGGUAUUUGGACAGAAAUAUGUAUGUUUGUCUACCUUAAGACCAUAUCCCUCAACCACUACAUCCGCCAGACUGUAAAAAAACAAUUAUUUCACUUACGCAAAUUAGUCAUAGCCAGCCCCUCCCUCUACUGUCCUGCUGGUCAAAACUCUCAUCCAUGCUUUCAUCUUCUCCCGAAUAGACUAUUGCAACUCACUUCUCCCCGGCACUAACACAAACUCCCUCGAUAAGCUCCAAAGGGUUCAGAACUCAGCAGCCCAUCUUCUAACCCACACUAAAUCAUCCUGGCAGCAUAUCCUCUGUGAACUCCGCUGGCUCCAUGUCUCCCACCGCAUUAAUUACAAAAUCCUCCUGACCCAAAAAGCUCUCCCUCACCUUGCUACCCCUUACCUCUCUGACCUUCUCUCCUACUAGCCCUCAUGCUCUCUCCCCUCAACCACAGUUGGCCACCUUGUCAUCCCCAGGUCCAAGCUCCAGAGUUUCAGUGACAGGGCCUUCUCCAGGGUUGCUCCUAGGCUCUUGAACUCCCUCCCUCCAGCCAUCCGUGACUGAGUCCAUCAUCUUUCAGUCCCCCCUAAAAACCCACCUCCUCACCAUGGCCUACCCUUACCUACACCAUUUUCACACACACCUCUUAUGUUUCACAUAUGCGCAACACCUGCUCGCUCGCUCACUCACCUUGCUGUCUCACUCACAUACUCACACAUAACGCCCUUUCCUAGAGCCCUUAACUCUAUUUAGCCCCGUUUAUACCUGGUUCUAACAUGCAUUAUAUGUCCUGAUCUUGUCCACAGUCUGAUUGUGCCCACAUUUUCAGACGGGUGUAGAUGAUUAAAAGAAGCAUUGUGAUCAGAUCUUCCUGACCACGUCUGGAGGUGACAGUGAAACCAUUUAAAUCGUCCUGCCUUCUAAAAUCAUUGACAGGUGCGCGGAUACAGUCGGCGGUUAAGACUGUGCACAAUCAUAAUGUGGACAAGAUCAGGACAAAGGACGCAUGUUUGCGCCAAAGUAUUUUGGUUUAUGUUUUUCUUUAUGUUUAGUCUGGUGUUUAGUUAGAUUGUUUGUUAGUUUCUACAAUUUGUAAAGCUUCCGUGUGUACGUUUGAUGUAUAAUUAUUGUUAUUAUUAAAGUAGAGGAGGUAGUUCAGGCAAGCAACAUUUCAACACAUUCUUUUCACAUAUCCUGUGUAGAAGUUUAUUUAUAAACUGGGGGGGUUCCAGCCCUGAAUGCUGUUUGUCUGAAAGCCUUGGUAUAUCAGACCGUAUAUCAUGGUGGCAAUCAACACCCAUGCCCCCAAACUACAACCCUCCUGCUGCCCAAGAACUGUCUGAUACAAUUGCCCCCCAGGAGACCAGCUACACCCUCAACCAGGUUGAACCCCCAAUAAUCCCCACCACCCAGGAGACCAGCUACACCCAAACCGAAGAAGACGGGGAGAAAGAUGAGGAGAAAGUCCUGUCCUGUCACCCUCAAAAAACCCUCCAACCCGUUGAGCAUGACAAAGUCAACCCCCUGCCUAGAAGUCCAGUAUUCCAGAUUCGCCUCUUCACUGUUGACGUUGAGACUGGUGUUUUGCAGGUACUAUUUAACGAAGCUGCCAGUUGAGGACUUGAGGAGUCUGUUUCUCAAACUAGACACUCUUAUGUACUUGUCCUCUUGCUCAGUUGUGCACUGGGGCCUCCCACUCCUCUUUCUAUUCUGGUUAGAGACAGUUUUUGCUGUUCUGUGAAGGGAGUAGGACACAGCAUUGUACUAGAUCUUCAGUCGCUUGGCAAUUUCUCCAUGGAAUAUUCAUUUCUCAGAACCAGAAUAGACUGACGAGUUUCAGAAGAAAUGUCUUUGUUUCUGACCAUUUUGAGCCUGUAAUCGAACCCACAAAUGCUGAUGCUCCAGAUACUGGUCUAAAGAAGGCCAGUUUUAUUGCUUCUUUAAUUAGCUCAACAGUUUUCAGCUGUGCUAACAAUUGCAUUAACAAUGUCUACACUGUAUUUCUGAUCAAUUUGAUGUUAUUUUAAUGGACCAAAAAGGAGCUUUUCUUUCAAAAACAAGGACAUUUCUAAGUGACCCUAAACCUUUGAACUGUAGUGUAUAUACAAACAUUAUAUUAAGCAGGACAUUCUUACCAACAUUAAAAUCCUAUUAUAAUCCAAAAGUAGUGUGAAAUGCACUCAUAAGCAACGUAAAUAAGCAAUGUAAAUAAAGGCUAUUCUGGCUGGCUUUCUAUAAGAACUCCCCUUUGUUCUGCCACCAACUUGUGUGCUUUGCCCUCAUGAGUAAGCAAUGUUUUCAAACACAGAAAGGGAUCUAUAGCGGUGAAAAUACUUGAAACCCUUGUAAGUGAACAGCUAAAAUAGUAAAUAAAAACUAACUCUAUUUGAUCAAUGUACCAAUCGGGCUUCAGGAAGAAGCAUAGCACAAUUACAGCAGCCAUGAAGGUUUUAAAUGAUAUCACUGAAACCGUUGACAAAACAGCACUGUGUCUCACUUUUUAUUGAUCUCUCGAAGGCUUUUGAUACAGUUGAUCAUGCUAUACUAUGGCAGAGAUCGUCGAGUGUAGGUCUUUCGGAGCAUGCAGUUGCAUGGUUUGCUAACUGUCUGUCUGAUAGAACUCAGUGCACUCAAUUUGACGGGCUUAUGUCUGUUAAAUUGUCUGUCUUAAAUUGUGUGCCCCAAGGCUCUGUACUUGGUCCUCUCUUAUUCACUAUUUAUAUAAAUGAUUUAGACAAAUGUCAAAUGCACAACUUCAUUUUUAUGCUGAUGAUGCUGUUAUUUACUGUUGUGCCUCGUCUCUUACAAAAGCUUUCCAGAACUUGCAAACUGCUUUUUAUACUGUUCAACAUACCUUGUGUCAAUACCUACAAAACUAAACUAAUGGGUGUUUUCUAAUGCAAGAAAUAGACCUCUGAACCUUUCACCUAUUACUACCUGUCAGGGCAAGGAGAUUGAGGUUGUAACCUCAAAUAUAUUGGAAUUUUAAUUAAUGACUGCCUCUUUUUUAAAUUGCAUAUUCAACAACUUACAAAAAAAAAUUAAGCUGAAAUUGGGAUUUUAUUUUAGGAAUAAUGCCUGUUUUUCUUUUGAAACCAGAAGGAGGCUAGUAUUCGCUACAUUUAUGCCUUUACUAGACUAUGGGGAUAUUUUAUAUAUGAAUGCUUCCGCUCAGUGUUUGAGAUCAAUUGACACUCUUUACCAUGGCACUGAGAUUUAUUUUAAACUGCAAAACCCUUACGCACCACUGCACUUUGUAUACCAGAGUUGGCUGGCCUUCUCUAGUCACUCGUAGGCUCAGUCACUGGUAUACUUUUAUUUACAAAGCCAUUUUUGGGUUUACUACUUUUAUUUGUUCAGAAAUGUGGUGGGUACUCUCUUCGUUCACUGGACUUUAUCCUGCUAACUGUUCCAAAUGUCCGAACUGAAUUUGGUAAAAGGGCUUUUAUGUACUCUGCGCCAUCGUCUUGGAACGCCAAAAUACUUUUAAACUGGAAGAACUUGUCCCGAUUGGUGUUUUUAAAUCACUGAUGAAGGAUCUUGAGGCUGAUUCCCUGACCUGUCAAUUUUUUAUUUGCUGUUUUUGAUUUUGUUUUACUCUUGUAAAUGCAAUGGUUUUUACUAGUUUACUUGUAGUUUUUCAUGUUGUCUGUCUGUCAUUUUUGUAAUGACUUGGUGCUGCCUAUCUUGGCCAGGACGCUCUUGAAAAUGAGAUUUUAAAUCUCAAUGAGCCCUUCCUGGUUAAAUAAAGGUUAAAUAAAUAAAAUAGCCAAUUAUAUUUCCACCAA
ensembl:lncRNA